UACGUAGGUGGCAAGCGUUGUCGGGAAUUAUUGGGCGUAAAGCGCGCGCAGGCGGCCUUUUAAGUCUGAUGUGAAAUCUUGCGGCUCAACCGCAAGCGGUCAUUGGAAACUGGGAGGCUUGAGUACAGAAGAGGAGAGUGGAAUUCCACGUGUAGCGGUGAAAUGCGUAGAUAUGUGGAGGAACACCAGUGGCGAAGGCGACUCUCUGGUCUGUAACUGACGCUGAGGCGCGAAAGCGUGGGGAGCAAACAGG
rnacentral:rRNA from 1 species